rnacentral:rRNA from 2 species
UUAAACUGAAGAGUUUGAUCCUGGCUCAGAUUGAACGCUGGUGGCAUGCUUAACACAUGCAAGUCGAACGGUAACAGGUCUUCGGAUGCUGACGAGUGGCGGACGGGUGAGUAACGCGUAGGAAUCUGCCCAUCUGUGGGGGAUACCAGUUGGAAACGACUGUUAAUACCGCAUAAUAUCUGCGGAUUAAAGGUGGCCUUUGCGCUGCCGCAGAUGGAUGAGCCUGCGUUGGAUUAGCUAGUUGGUGGGGUAAGGGCCUACCAAGGCUACGAUCCAUAGCUGAUUUGAGAGGAUGAUCAGCCACAUUGGGACUGAGACACGGCCCAAACUCCUACGGGAGGCAGCAGUGGGGAAUAUUGGACAAUGGGGGAAACCCUGAUCCAGCAAUGCCAUGUGUGUGAAGAAGGCUCUAGGGUUGUAAAGCACUUUAGUUGGGGAGGAAAGCCUGUGAGUUAAUAGCUUGCAGGAAGGACGUUGCCCAAAGAAUAAGGACCGGCUAACUCCGUGCCAGCAGCCGCGGUAAUACGGGGGGUCCGAGCGUUAAUCGGAAUUACUGGGCGUAAAGGGUCUGUAGGUGGUUUGUUAAGUCAGAUGUGAAAGCCCAGGGCUCAACCUUGGAACUGCAUUUGAUACUGACAAACUAGAGUAUGGUAGAGGAAUAGGGAACUUCUGGUGUAGCGGUGAAAUGCGUAGAGAUCAGAAGGAACACCAAUGGCGAAGGCAACAUUCUGGACCAAUACUGACACUGAGGGACGAAAGCGUGGGGAUCAAACAGGAUUAGAUACCCUGGUAGUCCACGCUGUAAACGAUGAGUACUAGCUGUUGGAUUCGGUGUAAAGGAUCUAGUGGCGCAGCUAACGCGUUAAGUACUCCGCCUGGGGACUACGGCCGCAAGGCUAAAACUCAAAGGAAUUGACGGGGACCCGCACAAGCGGUGGAGCAUGUGGUUUAAUUCGAUGCAACGCGAAGAACCUUACCUGGUCUUGACAUCCUGCGAACUUUCUAGAGAUAGAUUGGUGCCUUCGGGAACGCAGUGACAGGUGCUGCACGGCUGUCGUCAGCUCGUGUUGUGAAAUGUUGGGUUAAGUCCCGCAACGAGCGCAACCCCUAUUGAUAGUUACCAUCAUUAAGUUGGGUACUCUAUUGAGACUGCCGCUGACAAGGCGGAGGAAGGUGGGGACGACGUCAAGUCAUCAUGGCCCUUACGACCAGGGCUACACACGUGCUACAAUGGGUAUUACAGAGGGCUGCGAAGGUGCGAGCUGGAGCGAAACUCAGAAAGGUACUCUUAGUCCGGAUUGCAGUCUGCAACUCGACUGCAUGAAGUCGGAAUCGCUAGUAAUCGCAGGUCAGAAUACUGCGGUGAAUACGUUCCCGGGUCUUGUACACACCGCCCGUCACACCAUGGGAGUGGGUUGCUCCAGAAGUAGAUAGCUUAACGAAUGGGCGUUUACCACGGAGUGAUUCAUAACUGGGGUGAAGUCGUAACAAGGUAGCCGUAGGGGAACCUGCGGCUGGAUCACCUCCUUAA